CCUACGGGUGGCUGCAGUGGGGAAUUUUGGACAAUGGGCGCAAGCCUGAUCCAGCAAUGCCGCGUGCAGGAUGAAGGCCUUCGGGUUGUAAACUGCUUUUGUACGGAGCGAAACGGCUCUCUCUAAUACAGGGGGCUAAUGACGGUACCGUAAGAAUAAGCACCGGCUAACUACGUGCCAGCAGCCGCGGUAAUACGUAGGGUGCAAGCGUUAAUCGGAAUUACUGGGCGCAAAGCUUUAGCACAGGGUUGAAAUCCCCGGGCUCAACCUGGGACCUGCAUUUGUGACUGUAUAGCUAGAGUACGGCAGAGGGGGAUGGAAUUCCGCGUGUAGCAGUGAAAUGCGUAGAUAUGCGGAGGAACACCGAUGGCGAAGGCAAUCCCCUGGGCCUGUACUGACGCUCAUGCACGAAAGCGUGGGGAGCAAACAGGAUUAAAUACCCCAGUAGUC
rnacentral:rRNA from 1 species